UACGGAGGGUGCAAGCGUUAAUCGGAAUUACUGGGCGUAAAGCGUGCGCAGGCGGUUUGUUAAGUCUGCUGUGAAAUCCCCGAGCUCAACUUGGGAAUUGCAGUGGAUACUGGCAGGCUAGAGUAUGGUAGAGGAAGGUGGAAUUCCCGGUGUAGCAGUGAAAUGCGUAGAGAUCGGGAGGAACACCAGUGGCGAAGGCGGCCUUCUGGACCAAUACUGACGCUCAUGCACGAAAGCGUGGGGAGCAAACAGG
rnacentral:rRNA from 1 species